UACGGGGGGGGCAAGCGUUGUUCGGAAUUACUGGGCGUAAAGGGCUCGUAGGCGGCCAACUAAGUCGGAUGUGAAAUCCCCAGGCUUAACCUGGGAACUGCAUCCGAUACUGGAUGGCUUGAAUUCGGGAGAGGGAUGCAGAAUUCCAGGUGUAGCGGUGAAAUGCGUAGAUAUCUGGAGGAAUACCGGUGGCGAAGGCGGUUCUCUGGGCAUUACCUGACGCUGAGGAGCGAAAGUGUGGGGAGCGAACAGG
rnacentral:rRNA from 1 species